ensembl:lncRNA novel transcript, antisense to PSMD7
UACAGAUCACUACUCCCGAAGUCAAAAACGACUAGAACACAGCUUAAAAAUCAAGCCAUUUAAUUGUAUCUUUGAAGGGCGACCACGGAACGGAUCAGCGAGGCCAAGUACACUACCACCAUCUGGUCAUUGGUCUUCAGGUAAAAGGCCUUGACGAACUCCUGCAGGCUGACAUCUGGCAGCAGGUUGAAGACGUCCUGCAGCUGGUAGAUGAUCUGGUGGUUGAUGGGCAGCUUGCCUGUGGCGACUUUUUCCAGGUAGCUCCUGAUAUCCAGAAGCUUGGAGUUCAGUCCCUUCAAACCAUGGACCUGGUUUGUGAUCCGCUGGGACAGAGUGCCCACCGUCGUGUCUUUGAUAUCUCUGUAAUAACCCACAGUUAAAAAGGGCAGGAAAAGGCAUCAGGGUACCAUGUUAUCAGGCAAGUUCUUACAUUCUAAGAAAAUUCCUAGCUUUGUUGGGUGAGGCAAGUUUUUAAAAGAAAAAUGUCACUUCCCCAUUUGAUAAAGAUUUCGUUAUCAAUUA